ACCGCGUGGAGGAUGACGGCCCUCGGGUUGUAAACUCCUGUCAUCUGGGAGUAAGCCUUGUGCGUUAAUAGCGUGCAAGGUUGAUAGUACCAGAAGAGGAAGGGACGGCUAACUCGUGCCAGCAGCCGCGGUAAUACGAAGGUCCCAAGCGUUGUUCGGAAUCACUGGGCGUAAAGCGUGCGUAGGCGGCGCGGUAAGUCAGAUGUGAAAUCUUUGGGCUCAACCCGGAAACUGCAUCCGAUACUACCGUGCUGGAGUAAUGGAGAGGUAGCUGGAAUUCUCGGUGUAGCAGUGAAAUGCGUAGAUAUCGAGAGGAACACUCGUGGCGAAGGCGAGCUACUGGACAUUUACUGACGCUGAGGCACGAAGGCCAGGGGAGCGAAAGGGAUUAGAUACCCCUGUAGUCCUGGCAGUAAACGGUGCGCGUUUGGUGUGGGAGGAUUCGACCCCUUCCGUGCCGGAGCUAACGCGUUAAACGCGCCGCCUGGGAAGUACGGCCGCAAGGCUA
rnacentral:rRNA from 1 species